GGGUUUUAGAGACCGAAAAGGAAAAAGAAAAGGAAAAAAUCUAAACAAUGGAUCCUUCGGCUCUCAAUUCCGCUGAAAUGCAGCGAUUACUCAAUCAAGAAAAGGAGAAGGCCAUGGUUAAUGAGAUGCUGGCAAAGCUUACUAGUGAAUGCUGGGACAAAUGCAUCAGUAGUGCACCCGGGAGCAAGUUCAGCUCAAGUGAAUCAGCUUGCCUUUCUAAUUGUGCCCAGCGAUAUACGGAUAUGAGCCUCAUCAUAAUGAAACGCUUUCAGUCCAUGCAUUGAAAGUUUAGGUAUCAUUGUUUUAGUAUGUCGGUUACAAGAUGUUACUGCUUGUUAGCCUCUAUAGUUGUUAAUUCUAUCAUUACAAGAUGCUAUGAAUUUUUUUGAACCUAAACCACUUUAUAUUUAAUGAUGCAAAUCAUGCAGCA
rnacentral:misc_RNA from 1 species